rnacentral:tRNA from 1 species
GGCCGCGUGCGUACAAUGGAUAACGCGUCUGACUACGGAUCAGAAAGAUUCCAGUUCGAGUCCUGGUCGUGGUCG